UACGAAGGGGGCUAGCGUUGUUCGGAAUCACUGGGCGUAAAGCGCACGUAGGCGGACUCUUAAGUCAGGGGUGAAAGCCUGAGGCUCAACCUCAGAACUGCCUUUGAUACUGGGAGUCUUGAGUAUGGUAGAGGUUGGUGGAACUGCGAGUGUAGAGGUGAAAUUCGUAGAUAUUCGCAAGAACACCAGUGGCGAAGGCGGCCAACUGGACCAUAACUGACGCUGAGGUGCGAAAGCGUGGGGAGCAAACAGG
rnacentral:rRNA from 1 species